rnacentral:lncRNA from 1 species
AAAUAAUUAUAAGAUCCAUUGUGAAGAUAGUAAAAAAAUGAAUUAUCCGUUUUUUAUCAAUAACAAUAUAAGUUCCUUUGAUAAAAAUAACAAACAUAACGAACAUAACGAACAUAACAAACACAAGUAUACAAUUGUACCAUAUAAAUUAACGCAUGAAAAUAAAUGCUUGGACAACACUAAUAUUAUAAUGAACGCAAAAAAUAUAAAUCAUGAAGCUUUAAUAGCAUUGAAUAGUAAUGAUAAAGACCCGAAAGAGAACAAAAAUGUAAACAAUAAAAUUUUGAAAGAAAACUAUUUUUCUUUUAACCAAAAAAAUAAUAAUUCAGAUUUUGAUAAUAAUUAUCAUUUCCAAGACACCGUCAAUAAGGGUUAUGAUGUGAUCAAUAGUAACAAUGUGAGCAGUAAUAAUAGUAGUAAUAAUAAUAAUAGUAACAUCGAUAGUAAUAAUUUAAGUAGUAUUAAUAAUAAUAAUGGUAAUAGUAAUAAUAAUAAUGGUAAUAGUAAUAAUAAUAAUAGUACUAAUAAGAAUAGUAAUAGUUAUAAUAAAAAUAAUAACAAUAGUAAUAACAAUAACAAUACAACUAACAAUAACAAUACUACUAAUAAUAGCAAUACUACUAAUAAUAACAAUACUACUAAUAAUAACAAUACUACUAAUAAUAACAAUACUACUAAUAAUAAUAAUACUACUACUAAUAAUAAUACUACUAAUAAUAACAAUACUACUAANNNNNNNNNNAAUAAUACUACUAAUAAUAACAAUACUACUAAUAAUAACAAUACUACAAAUAAUAAUAAUACUACUAAUAAUAACAAUACUACUAACAAUAACAAUACUUCUAAUAAUAAUAGUAGCAAAGGCAAUAGUAAUAACAUAAAAGUAGUGAAGUAUAAUAGAAAAAAAAAAAACGCUAAUGAAAAAAACGAACCCGAUGUAAUCAAAGAUAAUGUUAAAAAAAGGAGUAAUAAAAACUACUCAAAUAUUAUAAAGUUAAAUAACUCAUUUAAAGAAAAAGAUAUGAUGUACAUAGACAAUCAUCAGUUUAUCAACGAAAAUUUUUAUAAAUGUCUUGGAGAAAAUAACAAAAAAAAAAAAAAAAGUGAAUGUGUUCAAAUAAAUAUUUGUUAUUCAAGUGAAAAAUCAUCAGAUAAUGGUGAAGAAGAUAGCAGUUCAGUUGAUACAGAUGAAGAUGACAUAUAUCAAAAUAUAUGUCAAUCUAAUGAUCCUUUUGAUUUGUACAAAUAUUCUUUAAAUACUAAAAUUGAAGAAAAUCAAUUAAAAUCAAAAGAUUAUUAUUUAAAUACUAAAGAUAACGCAACUGAAGAAAU